rnacentral:lncRNA from 1 species
UAUGUAAAAUAUAAUAGAUCAGAUCUAUUACCUUGCAAGUUAGAUGUUUUAACUUUGCUGAUCCGAACUUGAGGAUGAUAAUGUGAGCUGAACAUGUAUCUGGCCUCUAGGAGUCAUCCACACGAGCCCACAGAUUAUGAUCAGAAGUCCUGAUCCAGAAAAUCAGCACAAUAUGCUAGUAUUGUGCUGAUCCUUCUUCGAUGGUCGAUCAGAUACCUCCUUCUUCUUGAUUUAGACUCUUCUAAAGAUGAGAAAUAGGAGAAGGAGUUUUAAAUGUGAGAUACUCUCAGAAAACUCACAGA